AACACGUAAGGAACCUGCCCUCAGGUCUGGGAUAACCACGAGAAAUCGGGGCUAAUACCGGAUGGGUCAUCGGACCGCAUGGUCCGAGGAUGAAAGGCGCUUCGGCGUCUCCUGGGGAUGGCUUUGCGGUGCAUUACCUAGGUGGUGAGGUAAUGGCCCACCGAGGCGACGAUGCAUAGCCCACCUGAUAAGGUGAUCGGCCAACCUGGGACUGAGACACGGCCCAGACUCCUACGGGAGGGAGCAGUAGGGAAUCUUCCCCAAUGGACGAAAGUCUGAUGGAUCAACGCCGCGUGAACGAUGAAAGCCUUCGGGUCAUAAAGUUCUGUUGUAACGCAAGAACAAGUGCCGCACGCAAUGGCGGCACCUUGACGGUACCUUGCGAGAAAGCCACGGCUAACUACGUGCCAGCAGCCGCGGUGAUAAUUACUGGGCAAGCGUUGUCCGGAAUUAUUGGGCGUAAAGCGCGCGCAAGCGGCCUCUUAAGUCUGAUGUGAAAGCCCCCGGCUCAACCUGGGAGGGCCAUUGUAAACUGGGAGGCUUGAGUAUGUGAGAGAAUAGUGUGCUUCCACGUGUAACGGUGAAAUGCUGACAGAUGUGAACG
rnacentral:rRNA from 1 species